rnacentral:rRNA from 1 species
AUUGAACGCUGGCGGCAGGCCUAACACAUGCAAGUCGAGCGAGCGGCGGACGGGUGAGUAAGGUAUGGGGAUCUGCCCGAUAGAGGGGGAUAACUACUGGAAACUGUGGCUAAUACCGCAUAUUAUCUGAUGAACCCACAUGGGAUUAGCUAGUAGGUGGGGUAAAGGCUCACCUAGGGGACGAUCUCUAGCUGGUCUGAGAGGAUGAUCGGCCACACUGGGACUGUGACACGGCCCAGACUCCUGCGGGAGGCAGCAGUGGGGAAUAUUGCACAAUGGGAGAAAGCCUGAUGCAGCCAUGCCGCGUGUGUGAAGAAGGCCUUAGGGUUGUAAAGUACUUUCAGCGGGGAGGCGUUACCCGCAGAAGAAGCACCGGCUAACUCCGUGCCAGCAGCCGCGGUAAUAC